rnacentral:rRNA from 1 species
GAUGAACGCUAGCGGCAGGCUUAACACAUGCAAGUCGAGGGGCAUCGGGAGGGAAGCUUGCUUUCCUUGCCGGCGACCGGCGCACGGGUGAGUAACACGUAUGCAACCUGCCCUCUUCAGGGGGACAACCUUCCGAAAGGGAGGCUAAUCCCGCGUAUAUCGGUUUCGGGCAUCCGAGAUCGAGGAAAGAUUCAUCGGAAGAGGAUGGGCAUGCGGCGCAUUAGCUAGACGGCGGGGUAACGGCCCACCGUGGCGACGAUGCGUAGGGGUUCUGAGAGGAAGGUCCCCCACACUGGUACUGAGACACGGACCAGACUCCUACGGGAGGCAGCAGUGAGGAAUAUUGGUCAAUGGGAGAGAUCCUGAACCAGCCAAGCCGCGUGAGGGAAGACGGCCCUAUGGGUUGUAAACCUCUUUUGUCGGAGAACAAAACCCGGGACGAGUCCCGGACUGCGUGUAUCCGAAGAAAAAGCAUCGGCUAACUCCGUGCCAGCAGCCGCGGUAAUACGGAGGAUGCGAGCGUUAUCCGGAUUUAUUGGGUUUAAAGGGUGCGUAGGCGGUCCGUUAAGUCAGCGGUAAAAUUGCGGGGCUCAACCCCGUCGAGCCGUUGAAACUGGCAGACUUGAGUUGGCGAGAAGUACGCGGAAUGCGCGGUGUAGCGGUGAAAUGCAUAGAUAUCGCGCAGAACUCCGAUUGCGAAGGCAGCGUACCGGCGCCAGACUGACGCUGAGGCACGAAAGCGUGGGGAUCGAACAGGAUUAGAUACCCUGGUAGUCCACGCAGUAAACGAUGAAUGCUGGUUGUCCGGGUCGAAUGAGACCUGGGCGGCGAAGCGAAAGCGAUAAGCAUUCCACCUGGGGAGUACGCCGGCAACGGUGAAACUCAAAGGAAUUGACGGGGGCCCGCACAAGCGGAGGAACAUGUGGUUUAAUUCGAUGAUACGCGAGGAACCUUACCCGGGCUCAAACGGGAGUGGAAUGGACCAGAGACGGUUCAGCCUACGGGCCGCUUCCGAGGUGCUGCAUGGUUGUCGUCAGCUCGUGCCGUGAGGUGUCGGCUUAAGUGCCAUAACGAGCGCAACCCCCGCCGGCAGUUGCUAACGGGCAAUGCCGAGGACUCUGCCGGGACUGCCGCCGCAAGGCGUGAGGAAGGCGGGGAUGACGUCAAAUCAGCACGGCCCUUACGUCCGGGGCGACACACGUGUUACAAUGGGCGGUACAGCGGGAAGCCAGGCGGCGACGCCGAGCGGAACCCGAAAGCCGUUCUCAGUUCGGAUCGGAGUCUGCAACCCGACUCCGUGAAGCUGGAUUCGCUAGUAAUCGCGCAUCAGCCAUGGCGCGGUGAAUACGUUCCCGGGCCUUGUACACACCGCCCGUCAAGCCAUGGGAGCCGGGGGUGCUUGAAGUGCGUCGCCGCGAGGAGCGCCCUAGAGCAAAACCGGUGACUGGGGC